rnacentral:rRNA from 1 species
UACGAAGGGGGCUAGCGUUGCUCGGAAUCACUGGGCGUAAAGGGUGCGUAGGCGGGUCUUUAAGUCAGGGGUGAAAUCCUGGAGCUCAACUCCAGAACUGCCUUUGAUACUGAAGAUCUUGAGUUCGGGAGAGGUGAGUGGAACUGCGAGUGUAGAGGUGAAAUUCGUAGAUAUUGGGAAGAACACCGGUGGCGAAGGCGGCUCACUGGCUCGUAUCUGACGCUCAGGCGCGAUAGCGUGGGGAUCAAACAGG